rnacentral:rRNA from 1 species
UACGUACUGUGCGAACGUUAUUCGGAAUCACUGGGCUUAAAGGGUGCGUAGGCGGCCAUUUAAGUAGGGUGUGAAAUGCCAGAGCUCAACUUUGGCAUUGCGCUCUAGACUGAAUGGCUUGAGUGAGAUAGGGGUGUGCGGAACUUCCAGUGGAGCGGUGAAAUGUGUUGAUAUUGGAAGGAACGCCGGUGGCGAAAGCGGCACACUGGGUCUUAACUGACGCUGAGGCACGAAAGCCAGGGGAGCGAACGGG